ACAGUUUUGAUACAAAUGAGAGUUCCCGUUUUGAUGAUUGCUGUUGAAGGUGAUAAAUCUACUAUUCAUCAGAUUAAAGAAGCUGUUGAGCGAAACAUUCCAGUUUUGUUGAUGAAAGGUUCUGGAAAGGCAGUAGAUUUUAUAAUUGAAUACUUAGAUGAGUCAAGACCCAUGUAAGUGUUAAAGUUCUAAUUGAAUCAAAAUAGUUCGAAAAACUAGACAUACAAAACAACAUAUUGCAUGUUAAAACAGAAUUGGUGACUACUGGAAUAAUGAUACCAUCGUGGAUGUCUGCCGACAACAACGAAGAAGUCCUCAUUAUACUAGUAUAACUCUUAUAUUAUUUGCAUAUUAAGAAAUACGUUGAUAUGAUUGAUCGAGAGGACUUCCGGUAAUUGAUCUUGACGUUGUUUAUUUUUCGUUAAACAAAGAGGUUGACCAAUAGCUAUCAAAAGAGGGACGAAAGAUACCAAAGGGACAGUCAAACUCAUAAAUCUAAAACAAACUGACAACGCCAUGGCUAAAAAUAAAAAAAGACAAACAGAAAAACAAUAGUACACAUGACACAACAUAGAAAACUAAAGAAUAAACAACACGAACCCCACCAAAAACUAGGGGUGAUCUCAAAAGUACCAGGAUUAUAAUUUUAUACGCCAGACGCGUGUUUCGUCUAAACAAGACUCAUCAGUGACGCUCAUAUCAAAAUAGUUAAAAAAGCCAAAUAAAUACAAAGUUGAAGAGCAUUGAGGACCCAAAAUUCCAAAAAGUUGUGCCAAAUACGGCUAAAGUAAUCUACUCCUGGGGUAAGAAAAUCCUUAGUUUUUCGAAAAAUUCAAAGUUUUGUAAACAGAAAAUUUAUAAAAAUGACCAUAUAAUUGAUAUUCAUGUCAACACCGAAGUGCUGACUACUGGGCUGGUGAUAACCUCGGGGACGAAACGUUCACCAGCAGUGUCAUCGACCCAGUGGUGUAAAUAGUUAUCAAAAGUACCAGGAUUAUAAUUUUAUACGUCAGACGCGUGUUUUGUCUACACAAGACUCAUCAGUGACGCUAUAUCAAAAUAGUUAAAAAAGCCAAAUAAAUACAAAGUUGAAAGAGCAUUGAGGACCCAAAAUUCAAAAAAGUUGUGCCAAAUACGGCUAAGGUAAUCUACUCCUGGGGUAAGAAAAUCCUUAGUUUUUCGAAAAAUUCGAAGUUUUGUAAACAGAAAAUUUAUAAAAAUGACCAUAUAAUUGAUAUCCAUGUCAACACCGAAGUGCUGACUACUGGGCUGGUGAUACCCUCGGGGACUUCUUUUCGUAACCAAUGUAAAUAGCAACACCGAUGUUAACAAAAUUUAUUCAUUACAAGUUUAUCGUUAAAUAAAAUAAAAAACACAAAAACAUCCGUUUGAAUGAUAAUAAGAAUUUUUGCUCUUUAUUUUAAUUUUUAUCAGAAAGAAAAUUUCACUGAGUUCAUAUUUUUUGCGUUUACCAAUAAAUAUAUUCAUGCGCCAGGUCUAUUGAGAACAUAAAUAUAACAUUUACGUGUGAUAGAAAAAUAUUUGAUUUUAAACAUAUUAUAUUCAUUAAGAUAUGAAAAGGAUUGAGCAACAGGCACAGCCUAUAAAAGCUCUCUCCAUAAUACAUGUACUAGGUAUAAUCCUUCCGGAGCAACUGAGAUCACCCCUAAGUUUUGUUGGGGUUCGUGUUGCUUAUCAUAGUUUUCUAUGUAGUGUCAUGUGUACUAUUGUUUGUCUGUUUGUCUUUUUUAUUUUUAGCCAUGGCGUUGUCAGUGUAUUUUCGAUUUAUGAGUUUAACUGUCCCUUUGGUAUCUUUCGUCCCUCUUUUAUAACAACUGUAUUUAAAAUAAUGCAAUAUAGUGGAACAUGCGUGCUACUUAUGAGCAUACAUGAGCAAAUAUAUGUUUACAGUGUUACUUACUAAAUGCGAAGUUUAUUUAAGUAUUUAGACAAUUACUCAUCAUUUUUUAAAGUGCCUUGAAAUAUACAAAUAUCCUUUAUAAAUCAUUAGAAAUAUGUAUAUAUAUAUAUAUAUGGCUUGGAAGAGACACUAAGCUUGCUAAGUAUAAUCAAUGAAUUGAUAUUGAAGUGGAGGAGAAAAAAAUAAAACUAUACGAAACAAAAAUUAAGUAAUUUUCAAAUAAAAUGUUGAGUGUCACUGAUAUAUUUCUGAACAGAUUAAAAAAUAGCAAUAUUCAUACCAUAUGAAAAUAAUCUGUUUCCAAAAAGUAAUAAAUCAAUAUGUAUGUCAUCAUUAUCAGCAAUGGAAUAAAUGGAAUCAAGAAGGAUCUGUCUUAUAUCAUUGUACUUAGGGCAAAUAAAAAAGAAAUUUUGGGUUUCGUUUGCACAAAAAAGUGUUCUCGAAUAAGAACUGAUUAAACAAAUGAGAUUUAAGGUUGCUAGCAUUAUUUCGUAGUUGACAAUGACUUAUAUUAAGUUUCCUUAUCCCAUAGUUGAAAGGUUUACAUAUAUCAUCAGUCCUGUAAAACCUUUCCAGUCCUCUUCUAAAUAUACCCACACUUGGGGAUUUUUGUAAACUCAAAGGAAGACUAUUCCAAAGUCUUAUAGUGGAAAAAUAUAUUCCCCAUCUCCAAUUUUAAAGAAUUAUAAGGAUUAAUCGCCUUUUUAAGGGAAUUUAUUGGUGUAAUUGGUCGAGUUAAUACAAAAAUAAAUUCCUUUAAAAAGGCGAUUAAUCCUAUAAUUUAAUUGAUUAUUAUUACAAUAUAUUAUUAUCUUUUGUUGCAAAAUUCAAUACAAUAUAGAGUUAAUAUGAUAUAAACUAUGUUUCUUAAAUUAUCGUCAUAUGAUGAUUAGAUAGGCUUAAUACAUUAUCAUAACUCAAACAGUGCAUACACAGAUCAGUAAUACAUUUCAAGCAGACAUAACCUAAUAAGGUUGUAACCAAAGUUGAAACUCUCUCUUACUACAUACAACGAAAUAAUUACAUUAGAUGUAUGUUUCAUUAUAAUACGUUAUUCUGAUUGGCUAACUGCACAUCACGUGUUAUUCCUUUAGCAAUUGCAUUACACAAAUAUCAUCCAUGAUGGCACGAGGUCCCAUAAAAAAGUGCACAGGUAAAUUAAAUAAAGACAUGAUGUGAAUCGUGUUUUCAUGAUCCUAACUAAAAAAAAUGUAAUUAUAAGUAUUGAAUGCUUCUUUUUGUAACUUCGUUGGGUUGUAAAAGCGUUGACCGUGCGCACAUUUUUAGAAUGAAGCGCUUCCGCGCUUCAUACAAAAUGUACUUUGGUCAACGCUUUUGCACCCCAAUAAAGUUACAAAAAGAAGCAUUCAAUUCUUAAAUGCAAAAAAAUACCGAUUUCAAAUGAGAAAAGGACAACAAUAUAAAUAGGAAAUACAAUCAUCUCUUAUUGUAUCAAUCGUGUCCAUAUCUUUUCAACGUGUUGAACAUAGAACUUUAUAACUGUCAUUAUAUACACUUGUAGUGGACAAUUGCCAUGAUUAUUUGACUACAUGUCAUUUAUAUUAUAUUGAACUCUUUUAAAGUGACAAGGAAAAAAUACUGAAAAUAAACGCGCCACUGCUAUUAGGUAUAUAUAUGCGUUCAGACGAGUACAUGAAAUUGCAAAGAAGAAUGGCGACAAUACAGGAGUACAGUCACCUGGU
rnacentral:lncRNA from 1 species